rnacentral:rRNA from 1 species
CGUCUUACACAUGCAAGUCGAACGGUGAAGCAGAGCUUGCUCUGUGGAUCAGUGGCGAACGGGUGAGUAACACGUGAGCAACCUGCCCCUGACUCUGGGAUAAGCGCUGGAAACGGCGUCUAAUACUGGAUAUGAGCUGCGACCGCAUGGUCAGCAGUUGGAAAGAUUUUUCGGUCUGGGAUGGGCUCACGGCCUAUCAGCUUGUUGGUGAGGUAAUGGCUCACCAAGGCGUCGACGGGUAGCCGGCCUGAGAGGGUGACCGGCCACACUGGGACUGAGACACGGCCCAGACUCCUACGGGAGGCAGCAGUGGGGAAUAUUGCACAAUGGGCGAAAGCCUGAUGCAGCAACGCCGCGUGAGGGAUGACGGCCUUCGGGUUGUAAACCUCUUUUAGCAGGGAAGAAGCGAAAGUGACGGUACCUGCAGAAAAAGCGCCGGCUAACUACGUGCCAGCAGCCGCGGUAAUACGUAGGGCGCAAGCGUUAUCCGGGAAUUAUUGGGCGUAAAGAGCUCGUAGGCGGUUUGUCGCGUCUGCUGUGAAAUCCCGAGGCUCAACCUCGGGUCUGCAGUGGGUACGGGCAGACUAGAGUGCGGUAGGGGAGAUUGGAAUUCCUGGUGUAGCGGUGGAAUGCGCAGAUAUCAGGAGGAACACCGAUGGCGAAGGCAGAUCUCUGGGCCGUUACUGACGCUGAGGAGCGAAAGGGUGGGGAGCAAACAGGCUUAGAUACCCUGGUAGUCCACCCCGUAAACGUUGGGAACUAGUUGUGGGGUCCAUUCCACGGAUUCCGUGACGCAGCUAACGCAUUAAGUUCCCCGCCUGGGGAGUACGGCCGCAAGGCUAAAACUCAAAGGAAUUGACGGGGACCCGCACAAGCGGCGGAGCAUGCGGAUUAAUUCGAUGCAACGCGAAGAACCUUUACCAAGGCUUGACAUAUACGAGAACGGGCCAGAAAUGGUUCAACUCUUUGGACACUCGUAAACAGGUGGUGCAUGGUUGUCGUCAGCUCGUGUCGUGAGAUGUUGGGUUAAGUCCCGCAACGAGCGCAACCCUCGUUCUAUGUUGCCAGCACGUAAUGGUGGGAACUCAUGGGAUACUGCCGGGGUCAACUCGGAGGAAGGUGGGGAUGACGUCAAAUCAUCAUGCCCCUUAUGUCUUGGGCUUCACGCAUGCUACAAUGGCCGGUACAAAGGGCUGCAAUACCGUGAGGUGGAGCGAAUCCCAAAAAGCCGGUCCCAGUUCGGAUUGAGGUCUGCAACUCGACCUCAUGAAGUCGGAGUCGCUAGUAAUCGCAGAUCAGCAACGCUGCGGUGAAUACGUUCCCGGGUCUUGUACACACCGCCCGUCAAGUCAUGAAAGUCGGUAACACCUGAAGCCGGUGGCCCAACCCUUGUGGAGGGAGCCGUCGAAGGUGACG